GCAGUGGAGCUUGUGAACUUAACCACUCGGCCACGGGGCCAGCCCCAGGGAAAACAUCGAAGCCAUAUCAACCGGGAAGCUACUUACAGAACGAGAAAACUGUGUGUCCAGCAGAGCUCACGAUUCCCUUCAGUAUUUGCUGGACUUUCCUGGAGAGGAAGGUGGCAGUGGACCUACGUCACAGGUUGUAGCAAAUGUUCUCAACAUUUCUAUUGAAACCUUUAUCUCUGCUUGCAAGAGGAGCCCCAGAGCCUCAUCCCUGUGGGAGUGACUGUCCUCUGAUAUAAGCGUUGUUCACCAGGGAGCUUUGGCAAGAAAACUGGCUAGAUCAGCAAGUCCAUCUCCACUGUGAAAAAGCAACUUGAAGCUCAUCUCUAUUGACGGCUGCUGAAAUUCUGGUGGGGAUUGUGUUGAAUACAUGAAUCAACCUGGAAAGAGUUGCUGUCUUAACGAUAUUGAACUUUCCACUCCAUGAACCUGUUUGCAGGGAAACUGGCCCUGAGUUUGCAGCAGAGCGUUAUGCAGCACCUCUCACUUCAUCCGUCAGAGAGCAACCUGAAUGAAUUUCACUUUUUAGUGGGUAUUGGAGUAAUGUGACUGAAAAUUGUGUGGAUGAAAAGCAUAGAGACCCAAUUCUUCCACAUUCUUUGGAUGCAUGACGACAUGGGGAGAACAGAGUGAACUGAGAUCUCUGGCUAGUGUUAUAUGUAGGUAGGAUUCAGACAGCAGUAAAGGAAUUUGGAUUUCAGACAAAAGUCAAGCAUUAGAGAAGAGAUUGAAAUAGAAGAGACUGAAGUCCCGAAAAGAAGAGCCACAUAUAUGAAACCCUGCGGAGAUUCUAGCUUAAAUCCAUAAUUUAUGGGCAAAUGUGAACUUCACUAUGAAUUUCUCCUAAAAAUUUGAUUUACAGUUUACUUUCUCAAGAUUCAUUUUGAAUUACGGAGAUCAUAUUCUACUGUAACCUCUUAUGAAAGGAUUUCAAAAUCAGUGAUAUAAUCACAAAUGGAAUUUCAAGAAACAUUUUAUGAAACCUUAUGCCCUCUAAGCGAGAGGGAUACACUAUUUCUAGUCUGAGACACACGGAAACACCAUGGAAAAUUGCCUCCUAACAGCAAGGAGCAAACAGCUUUAAAAAAUAGAUUAAUUUAUAGAAAAGUGAUAGAGAAGUGGAUGUGCUGUGUAUAAUAAGGAAGUGAAGUGCGUAAAGAAUCGAAAAAGGAAUUCAGAAGCAGCCGGAUGUACUGUCUAUAGGACGGGGUUAGACUGAGUACUCCCUGCUUCACUGAAUACCUGCUUCAAAUCACCUUUCACAUUUUCUUGUUGGAAAGACAACCAUUGGAGAAUUAUCUUGUUACCGUCAGCAAAAAUGGAAACAGAUCAAAACAUUAAGAAUGCCACGGCGGCCAGCAGUUAAUGAUGCCAGUGUUAUGCAAGCUUCAGCAAAGGAAGUUUUCAAGACAGUGUGCCUCACUAGCCAGAAAUCAGAGAUCAAACCUAUUCUUUUUGUCUCAGCUGCUCCUUAAAUCAGUGCAACCCCUCCAAAUUAAUGUGAACUGAAAUGUGCAUGGCCUUUUCAACUUAACUGAGUACUUACUAUGUGUGAAUCACUGAACAAAAGAGAGGAGAGAAAAUGAGGGAGACAAAUAAGUUGUGGUUCCUGUGUUCAAUGUAUUUACAAUUAGUUUUAGGGCACAUUUGUUUUUUUGUCUUCUGCUCUUAAUUAAAUGUGUCCCUAAGACAGGAAACAAAUGAAUGGAAAAGUGUAUUCAGUAAGUAUUCCUUUUAAUAAAAAACAAAACAAGACAAAAAAAACCUCCUAAUGUGGGCAACUCAGGACGUCUUAAUUCCUUUUUUUUUGGACUUCCAAUAGGUAGGGUUCAUUUUAUUGAUUCCAUAUUCAAUAGACUUUAGAGAUAUUAACACAUUAUAGUUGGAGUUAAUUUGACUUAAAUCUUUUUUCCCACUUAGGUGUAGUUGGCUGUUGCAAAAAUAUUUUGUGUUUGUACAUUUCUUGAGGAGUGGGGAGGCAAAUUACAUCUGUUGUCUGUAUAGGCCCUACCUUCCAUGCCCUGGGGGCCUGCCAUUCUGGGUGAGUUAUUAGCAUGGAGAAGGGGAAGAUUUGGAUCAAUCUUGGGGGUAUUGCUUGUGGACCCAAGAGAGGACAGGGAAGGAGCCAAACAGACCUGGGUAAUGGCUCUGUGUGAACAUUUGGCUAACUAUGUCAGUGUUGACUGUGUUGUCCUCUGUGUUCCAUAAGUUGAAUGACUAUACAAUUUUUCUGAAAAAUUAUUUCUGGUCUGAAAUAAGUACAGGUCAUGAUUUUUUCAGUGUUGACACUAACAUGACUGUAGACACUAGACAUUUUAUGUAGUGUCUGUGACACAUUUUAGUAUGUAUGAGCCAACCAAAAACAUAUCUUUGUCUUGAGUAGUGUCCAUCUGAAUUGAAAAUGUGCCAGCGUUUUUUUCAGCAUCAUCAACAGACUUCUUAAUUAAGCUGCCAAUACAUACUGCCAAUAGCACUGUGUGCCAUUUGAGAAAUGAAUUGUGUAAGUACUGUUUCCCUCUUAUUGAUAAACAAUGUUUCUCCAUAAAAAACAAGUUUAAAGUGUUCUUUGAAUGGGGUGUUAUAUUGUUCCCUAAAGAAUUUGGUGAGAAUUCUCAUACCAUCCCUUUUAAUUUAAUUUCUAAAAACUGUUAUUUUGCUCCUCAGUAAGGAAUAGCUCUAAUUUGACCAAUGAGUUUAGCUAUAUGAUUCAUCCUUAAUAGAAUGAAUUGACCCACCUUCAAACUUCUGAUGGUGGUAUUGGAUAUUUGUUAUGUCACUUUCAGUUUGUGUGAAAUUGCUGCCAGGAAAUCUGAGUUAUGAACCUGUGUUGUACUAAUUGUAGAUAUUUAUUUCCUGUUUUGGGAGAUUUUUAGGUGGGACCAUCUCUAUUCCUGGUGCCUAGCAUGGUGCCUGGUCCAUAGUGGGUGUGUGUUCAGUAAGCAUUUGGUGAUCAAGGUGUGUAAAGUAGCUGUUUGCUUCUAGGGUUCUUAAGGCUCUAUAAAGACAGAGGGGGUCUUGCCAACAGAGUAACACCUUUAUUGCUUUGCAGUUUAUAGUCAAUCUACUUAGAAGGAGUGCAGAUCAACUGGAUUCUUCAUAGACAGUCUAGUCCACUGGGCCUCUUCCUUGGUGACUUGGACUUAACCACUUCAGCCCUGUGAUUUGUUCCCUCCUCCACUCUGCCUCCCUUGGCCCUGGCCCCGUUCUACACAAGGGUUGGGCCUUGGAAGGGCUGCUCCGCUCUUCCUCCUCUGGCUUGUCCGUCAACAGAUCAAUCACUCUGUUUACUGGGUGCUCACGACAUGAUGUGCCAGCUGCUGGGCUAAGUGCUUUACCUGCAUCCUCUCACUGAAUUAUCUCAUUUACACCUCACGACAACCAUUGAAGAAGGUGUUAUCCACUGCAGAGGCGUGUGUCUUGGUGAAGUCAUAGGGGUCUAAAUCUAGAUCUCUCAGAUUCAAAAGGCUGAACUAUUGACCCCUACCCUCUGCUGCAUCCCAGGAGAAAGUCCCAGUGCCUGGGAGAGGGGCAGAUCAGAUCUGAAUCUAGUCCAGAUUCACUGCAUUUAGUAUUCCUGAACAGCAAACUGUCUCAGAGAUAAAACCCAGCAAAUCACAGUUGUUCUGAGAAUGGGGGAGGGGCAGAGCAAUUGGGAGAAGGGAAAGUUGGAAACAGACCAAUUUGAGUCAAACCUUUAGCCUUUACCUUAUAGUGCUCUUUUUUUUAAAACUUUCUUUUUUAUUUUUAACAUGUGAUACCAUGUGAUAAAUCAAAGCCUGACGUAAUUGACCCAGAAUUGAUCCCCCAACGUCUUUUGGGGGAACAUGCUUUAACUCUGGUUGUUGAUUCUGAGGAAUAAUUGCCACCCUAGAAAGGUAAUUACACAUGCCAUUGUCUAUACACAUAAUAGGCUCAGAAUGCAUGUUCUGCACAGAGGGGAAGAGAAUCCUGCCUGCACAUUAGGGGUGUGUGCUAUGUAUUGUGUCACAAUGUCACAAGUAGCAUUUGAACUGCUCCCAAAGACUGCUGAUUACCCCGACGUGUGUGUGUACUCAUGCACACGUGCGUGUGUGCAUGUGCAUGUGCACGUAUUCAUGUGUGUGAGUGUGUGUAAGGGAGAGGUUAGAAGGCGGAAGGGAAUGGGCUGUGGAAGGCUGUUUGUUGAGCUGAAAUGGCAGUGGUUGGCUUUUGCUUAAUUUUUUAGUUUACCAAAACAUCUUCUGGAUCUGAUUCAUUUAGUGUGGUCUGGUAAAAAGACUGUUUUCUUCCUGCCUGGCAUAUGCUUAUUAAUGAGUUCUCAUAUUUCUUUCCAUCAAGGGCUGUUUACUUUGUGGAACUAAAAAGUGAGAAUCCUUCUCCGCAACAUCCUCCUAAAUGCCCUGGUUUUGACCACCCCUUUAAAUACACCAAAGAGCCAGCUGGAGCCGUAGCUCGUGCCUUUCCUCUCACUGUGCUUUCUGGUAAAACGUAAAUGGGAUUUAAACCGCAAAUGACCAAUUAAAGCACUUCAUGCCUUUUUCCUUUAGCCAUAAGACAGUAGUUAUCCUAAGUAAAUACAACAAACAGGCUAUUUUGUGGUAGUCUAGCCCUAGCAACAUAUUUUUUUUUAAAUCAAAGCCUGAAAAAAACAAAAUGUCAUGACUUUUUGUAGAGCUGCACAAUGAAGGAAAUACAUAUGUAUUCCAAUAUGGAACUGAGCAUUGUCUGAGGCCAAAGCAAUUCAUCCUGGGCUAUUCUCUGUCGCAGUGUCCAGCAAAUUGCAUGACCUGCUUGUUAGGCUUGACAACAGUGUUUUACCUAACAAAGGCCUCUGCAGCGCCGAGCAGCAGUGGAAUGUCAGAACGAGCACAUUUCACACACAGAUGUGCAGCCAUAAUAGCCUAUAAGAAGAUGCAUGUGGCAGGGAGCAAGGGGUGGGGGCUGGGCGCUCGGCGCGGGAUGGCAUGUGAGUGUGGAGGUUGGGGGCCAGCGGGAGGGGAAGGCCAGCAGUUAGCAGCCGGGACAUGGCCCCACUGACCACAUUUAAUCAGCCCUCUGUAAACAAUUCAACAUUUUCAUUGUUCUCUAAAAACUAAUAAAGAGAAACAAGCACUUUUCAUUCAUCUUGAAGUAAUUUUCUGUCAGGUUGGAGCCCCUCAUGGCCUCCAGCUUGUGCAAUGCGAGCUGUGUGAUACAACAACUAUUGCAAUUUAUUUUACAAACUCUGGUCAUUCACAUGUCAGUUAGUGUUCACCAAGCCGGCAUCUGAAAUUGUGCAGUUAACGAGUUUUACAACAUUUCUAUCAAGAGAAACUGUUUAGCAUAACUGACUCUUAAGGAGUUAUUAUACCUCUAAAAAUCCAUUUUAAGGGGCAUUAUUUAAAUAAAAUAGAAAAACGGUUCACUGCCUUUUAAAGGGGCUACAAAAAAAGUCCAUCAGCUCCAGUGCAGUAAUCCUCAGCUUAGAGCACUCUUGAGAGUACUUCUGGGAAUUGUCAGCAUAAUGAAAUGUUUUGUGAAAUGUCCAGAUAGAUUCCUCUACUCAACAAUUUUACUGCACCAUAUUUAUUUUCCUUCCAGUUUUUAAAGAAGUGAAUUACUUUUUGAGAGGAUGACUCUGUGUGGUGUAGAUUAACUGAGUACAUUAUUAUCCAGGUCGGAGCAGAAGUGAUGGUUCUCUUUGCAGUGUCAUCUGUAUGCAUCUGCAGACAGGAGCAAAGAAGAGAAAGGCAGCUUUUCCCCCUUAGUGCUUUAGCUCCAAGAGGGUCAAAUCACAAUGAGGCUUAUAGUUUUUCAUUUUCCUUGUGCCACGUUUUCCUCAGACUUUUAAACAACUUUGGUACACAAUGGCACCUGUAAAUACUUUCUUUAAACUUAGCAGAAUGGACUCUGUUUUCUUACCGUUAAGUAAAUAAAUACAGGAAAACCCGUACACAUGUACAUUGGCACAUGCAUAAUGACUCAUAUCGUUUGAAUCUGACCCAUUUCAAUAGGAGAUGCUAUUGAACAUUUUACUUAAAGAAGAAUAGAUCCCUCACAUUAACUGAGACGGCCAAUGACCCCAAACCAAUUAAUGGCUAGAGUCCAUAACGGAGCACUAUUUGGCAUAGCAGCAAGUUCACUUAGCAUAUUAUAUUACCUAACAGGAGUGGAAGCCACCGCUUGUAAUGUAAAUGGCUUAAUGGUUCUUUCUACGAUGAGUAAGACAAGGAGAAAAAUUAUGUUCUGCUGUAACGAGAGAUAUUCCAUAUCCUUAGGAUGUGUGUCUAUAACAUGGCACAUUUUCAUUUUGCCACAAACGGUCCCCUAAUUUCUUAGACUGAUGUUUGUGCACACAACUUUAAUUUUCUGAGGGAGGCAGGCAGGUGUUCUUGUGCCUGUUAGCUGUAUCUGCCCAUAAGAAACACAGUAACAUCCAUGAACCAAAUACAGUUUGACAUAAUUCAUGCCUUUAUUACCUCCUACAGAAUGAUAUUAUUUCAUGCUGGCACAUUAAUGUUUCCAGCACGAUACUGUCAUUCCUAGAAAUUUUACCUUCUGAAGUUCAAAUAUUGAGGAAUGAGUUUUACAGUUCUCUAGGUGCCUUAGAUUUGGGCACUGCAGAUAAUGUUCAGAUAAUGGGCAAAGAUCACAUCUGAAAACUCUCACCUCUUCUUGACCAAAAGUCUUGUUCCUAUUCUAUUUCUAUUUUUGCAAAUAAUAUUUCUUCAACUUAUCUUGUCAUACUUUGCUGCUAUUUGUUCCCCUAGUGAUGUAAACUCAAGAGAUGUUAACCAAAAAAUGUUUAACUGAUUGCAACUGGAGUCCAUUUGGUGUAGUACUUAAAUCUGUCCUAAUACUCCAGGAUUCAAAAUUAGUUAGGGCAGAUGGAGUGUACAAGUUUCCUAUUGCUGCCAUAACAAAUUACCACAAAUUUAGUGGCUUAAAAGAACACAAAUUUAUUAUCUUACACUUCUGUAGGUUAGAGGUCUCACUGGGCUAAAAUCACUUGUUGACAGAGCUGCAUUCCUUCUGGAUGCUCUGGGGGGAAUCAUUUUCCUUGCCUUUCCUAGCUUCUAGAGAACAUCUACCUUCCUUAGCUAGUGGCCCCUUCCUCCAUCUUCAAGACUAGCCCUGGCAAGUGGAAUCUUUCUCACAUGGCAUCCAUCUGACCCUUUUCCAUUGUCACAUCUCUCUCUCUCUCUCUGACUGUAGCCGAAAAAUGUUCUCCACCUUUGAAGACUCACGUGAUUAGAUUGGGCCCACCCAGAUGAUGCAGUAUAAUCUCUGUCUCAAGGUCCAUAUCCUGAGUCACAUAUACAAAGUCUCUUGCCAUGUAAGAAAUCAUAUUCGCAGGUUCUGGAGAAGAAGACUGGGGGCAUCUUUGUAGGGGAGACAUUAGUCUGCCUACCACAUGGAGUCUCUGAGAGUUCUUUCUCAUACCAAUAUUUUAAGAAUUAAUAGCAGACACUAGCCUAGUAGUCUCCAAACGUUAAAAAUCAUGCAUGAAAAUAGUUUUAAAAUUUGAGUAUGCACCCCAACAUAUGUACAUUUCCUUCUAAACUAUGCUAUUAUCUACAUUAAUAGUAUAUAUUUUAGUAGUAAAGCUUCAUUUCUUUUAAUAUAUAAAUAAAUAAAAGCAGACUUUCUAAAGGAUUCUUUGCACCCCUGUGCAUCAUCUCGUGUGCCCCUAGGGCUAUGUGCACCUUAUUUUGGAGAUGGAAAAAGGAUGAAGUUUGGAUUAACUUGUGUAAACGUGGCUCUUUAUUCUUUCAGAUAUAUAAGGCUUCAAGGUGAGGAAGGGACUGCAGAAACUUUUUGGUAGUCUCUGAUAGUUUUGGAAGUGAGGAAGAAAGUUAGUUAUUUGCUUCACUUACACUAUUACUGCCGUUUGCUGUUAUAAAGUGUGACAAUACAGAAUGUAACAUGCCCAAAACUUUCCUGAAAGUCGAGAGCUGCAAAUUAUAGAAUCGUAAGACAAAUGCCAUCUUAUAAAAGACUAGAAAGAGAUUGUUUACCAGAAAGCUCCAAAACAUGAGUUAGUUACUUGUCUCGAAUAAGGCCAUAUCUCAUUAGAACAUCUACUCAGAUCAGUGCACUUGGAAAUCCCGAGAAACUGAUUGCUCAAUGACCAUUUUAAACACUAGUGGCAAGGUCUGUGUGAAAAUUAGUUGAGAUGAAAGGUCAUUCUGCUAAGUUCACUUUAAAUCCUAUUUUUCAACUUUAAAAACAUCUAUAUUACACCAGCCACACUCCAUCUCCAUGGCGUAUGGGCUUCUUACAGCAUAGGAAAAGCAGAAAUUAUAACACAAGCCUACUGUUUAAGUCCUCUUGUGUUAAAAUUUGAGAUGUUUUCAGAGCAGUCACCCUCAAAAAUGGGAUCUUGCUGAGACAUGCUGACACACCUCUGAAAUCAAAAAGAGCUUCUGCUGGCGAAUGGAAGUAAGUUGCCACAAAAAUGUACAUCAAUUAGGAAACAAGUCAAUGAGUAUUUGCCAACUGCCGUAAGUGUCCCGGAGGCAGUCUGGGCAGUAUAUUUUUAUUUGAUUUGCCCCAGGCCACUUCCAUUCCCUUCCUGAAAGGUGCACAGGUAGUCUUCUUAAGUCCUUCGCUGAUAGUUUCCGUCAAUGACCUCAAAAUGUGACUGAUAAUAUGUCAAUGGUUACUGUACAAAGAAGUUAAACGUUACAGCUAAAUUUCCCCGCGAAUACCCAAUCCAGGGAUUAGCAACAAUAGGGAAUCUGUUUUAUUUGCAUUUAAUUUGUACCUUCACACUAUUAUCUCCCAUGUUUUAGUUUCAGGAAAUGUGGUCUCAGGCUAUUAUAACCACAUUUCAUGCUGCUGUUGCACUGUUAUUUGAUCUCUAUGGUUGGAAAUGACUUACUGAAAAAAUAAAGCAAGCAUACUUUAUUUUAAUUAUACCAGUGCAGUGUCUAAAUAAAAAAUGUACUUUAUAUUUAAUGUAGAGCACAGAUUAACAGUUUUAUGGGACAUAAAAUCUAUCUAUAUCAUUUUCUAUUUACACAUCAGUUAUAUAUCUUACUCUCAACAAAACAAAUGCGUACGGUGUGAAAACGAGGAAGGAGAGCAUCGAAGUGACAAUCGCAUGGGCAGUAAAUAACAUCUUAAUUGGUCUGGAAUGCCGGAGUUUGAUUUUUUUUUCUGCCUGGCUUUUAUUUAUUGAUCUCUAUAGCUUAUUUAUCUUUCCAGUGAUUUGUACAAGUCUAUCCCCUUUCCUCAAUAAGCCAAUCUAUGGUGGUUUUAUAUUGCAAAUCCCAUCUGGGGAAAUGGUCUAGUGAGAGAAGUGCAGUUGCUCCUGGAAAAGCCAUUAUUUAAAAGCUUUUGUAGAGGGAAGGGUAACUUCUCUGUUUUUACACUUUGUCUUCUGGAAAAAAGAAGGAAAGAAGAAGUGCAGCUAUUAUGAAGUUGCCACCCAAUGUGUGUUCCAACAAUUCUUUACUCUCCACUUGUUUGGCAGCAAUGAGAAAACAAAGAAGGAUUUAGUGUACACUGGGAAAUGUCUUUUAAAUGUUCCUGUACAUGAUUUAGCUCCUAGUGAGGGUAGCAGACAGGAAUGGAUUGUGUAUGUCUAAUACAUCAUAUGUAAACCCCGGAUUUUCUUCUGUAUACAUUUCUACAGCUCCAUUCCUAAUAUCUUUUUAAAAUAGCACUUUAGGAUAAACUACACUUCAAAUGACACAUUAUGCUCCAUAGUGCAGUUGAGAACUGGCAAAUGUAACCAUUGUCAGGAAAGCUGGUUGGCAAAAAAAUCCCACUCUUUUUCUGGUAUAUAGAUAUCUACAGCGGAAGUCAACUCUGGAAAAUUAGUGAUUUUUUUUUCCCUCCUGAAUCAAUGAUCCCCUUGUUUGUCACAUCUGCACUUCCAGUGUUUGUCGUGAUUCUUUUUGGUUCUCUUGAUCUCACAGAAUAUUAGAAGAGUGCUCUGAAAGAUUUCCUCUGUUGAUAGCUGAGGGAAAAACAAGUUUACAGAUGGCAAUGCUAUACUUAAGCAAUGCUAGCGAAGCUCUGCAAAGUGAUUCUAUAAACAUAUUCCAAAGAAGAGGCUCUGGUAACCCCUUGUAACCCUAAUAUCACCCUAACUGCCUUCAAAUGAGCUAAUGAAAAUUUGGGGCAGGUCUUUUAGAGAAUGAGUUUGCGUCUGACAUAAUUAGUGGUAGGCAGAUCUGACUGCAUCCAGGGGGAAUCUCCAGACAACUGCUUGCUCGACUAUUAGUGCUUAAUUUCUGAAUGUCAAACCCUGCACAUCUUAAUUUCUAGAGAAUAAGCUCAAUUGAACUUGCUCCCCAGUUAUGCAAAAACUGCUCAGAUAAAACCAAGUGGACACCAAUGUAAUGAAUGUGGUUAUUAAAUUGUUUCAAUUGAAAGAACCCUAUUCUUACACCAUCAUAAUGGGAACAAUUUAUCCCCACUGAUCGGCCUGUCUCUCUCCGUCUCUCUCUCGCUCUCUCUUUUUCUGAGCUCUCUUUGAUCUUGAAGCAUAUUGCGGUGGUGUGUCCUAUUGAAAAGCGAAACUGGGGCAAUUUUAAUGCUUUUGUACCUUACCAGUGCUCUAUUUUUUCGCUGUUUAAAAAUAGCUGUUAAUUAUAAGUGCGGUUUAAAUGUCUCAAGUGACCCAGAAAUGCAGGUUGGAAUGAGACAGAUUGUGUGUCUCAUAUAAAACAGAUGUACUUUCACAGAGCAUUCUGAACCCAGCCUUCCCUCUGUAUCCUCCUCUUAGGUUUUUUCAAUCAGGUAUUGAGCUGGUCUAGCACUGUGCUAUAAAACCCCACACAUCUGAACAGAGAAAAAGAAAAGUGGAUCUAUUUUUUUUUUGAGCCACAAAGAAAAGCCUCUUUUUGUAUAUCAGUCCCUACUAUGUGGGGGAAUAUGGUGCCGUUGGUGUUAGGUAAUGAGGCAGGGGCCACUGUCCUGACCGGGAAGACAAUAUGAUUUUCUAGAGCUCCACUCUGUCCAUCUCUUGGGUCAGGGGCUUUGUGUUUAAAGAACUCUGCAAUAGUGAUAAACAUAUCCCUCGAGGUCCUUCUUCAGCUUGAUUCAAUAGUGCCUGAGGACAAAUUAACCUCCUGCUAGGUUUCAAAGAUCUUUGAUUCUUCACUGGUUUCAGAAACUUGUAUUUUUAGCUCCUUUCUAAGACUGAGACCAUGGAGAUGGUCAUCCUACUGGUGAUGUUUCAGGGACCAAAGCUUUAUUAAGCAUGUGCUAAGUCAGUAAAAUCACGUUAUUCAUGUAUUCUGCUACAGUCUGAGAAAAUCUGUUGCUACCUAAUUAUAUGCAUUUGUAUACAUCAGGUUUGAAGGUGCUCCUAUUUAGUGUAGUCCAAGAAGUGAUUUCAAGGUUGAAUUUAAAAUAGAGUGCAUCCAAGUGGUCUGAUGAUUUUUUCCAAGUUCCUUAAGAUCUUUGGUACACAUCCCAAAGCCACCUGAACUGAACAUUUGGACAGUGAGGGAAGUCAAGACUCAUCCCCUUUCCUCCACUUGGAUCCAGAUCCCGUGGUCCAAUCUCCCUUGUGAUCAGGAUGGAAACAUCUCAUAAGGGGGAGAGCAGUUUUGUGCAUUGGCUCCCUGUCUGCUUCUAGCUAGAAAUGCCCAACAGCAGACUUCUUCAUUGCCUUAGCAAUAACACUGAGCAUAGUCAUGGUGUGGGCUUAGGGACCAAUUCUUUCUGUUCUUUCUAGAAAACUUGUAGACAUUUUAGUCAAGUUCCAAAUGCAGGCACUGAUGAACAUUUUUUUAUAGCUAAUUUUUCAAAUUGGUAAUUUUAACUUAAUUGAUUGAUUUGAUUCUAAUAUAACCAUUCUAAUUUGUCCAUUAAGAUUUAUUCAUUUAGUGUUCCUAACCUUGUAAGUGACAGUCCAAAGCACUUGGGUUAUGGUCUCAUGCCGAGUCUAUGAUUUAUUUUCAGGAAGAGGGAAGACAUGGCCUCAGGUAAGUUUAAGAGAAUCUGUGUCUUACAGAGUUGGUGCUGAAAACAAAUUCAGAAAAAGCAUUCUUUAACUCCAUUACUCAUAAAAAUAUUCCACUCACUGAGAUAUAUUUAUAUUGCUAUUGGAAGAGGAAUGAUAACACAUUUAUUGACAUAAUACAAAUACUAUUUCUAAGUAGAGUAACUGAAAGUAGAACUGUUGGGAAAGGUGGUCUUGGCUGUGGAGUCUUUCAACCUGCACUCAUCCCCGUAAGAAUGGGCCUUGGGCCUGAAACCUUCCUUCCCAAGAGAUGGAGCCCUCACAGCCUGUGCUGGCCUGUUCACCUUGUAUGGGCACAUCUUUCCCUGUUUGACUCAGUAUGUGCUCCUUUGUUGUGCUUAAGCACAUGUGUCAUGUGGCACCUGGCCAACCCCAGUGCUAUAUCUGUUCCCUGCGGGAAGAGGAUGAGGUCCCUCAUCUUUUGGCAUAAGAGGGGUACGUGCAGGCCAACAGUGCUGCUGCUGCUGGGAGUGACCCCUGGCCACGAGGGACAGAUUCCCACUACUGAAGCUGAUCUUGCUCUGUCUCUUCUUUAUGUGAGUCAAGUAUUGUUCCAUCCAGUGCCUGACUGAGUUUUGUUUUCCUUGGUGACUCUGAUACCAAGAUGCAGUGAACAGGAAUAGUCUGACUUCUACUCCUGGCGAUAGGCUACAGAUGCCACUCCUCAAUGAGAACAAAUUACUGUAUAAGAUAUAUGUGUUUGGAAAUGUCUUCAAUCCUUAGUUUCUAACCAGACUAUUGGGAGAAGUGGUAAAGACUGGUGUCAGUCUCGGGACAUCGAUAGCUAUUGAUUGUGGACAUUGAAUGGGCAUUGGGACUGUGAAAUCCAGGCCUGGAUAAGAGUGUGGAUAGAUGCUAGGUGUGGGGAUGGGUUAGGUUCUGGGUAAAACCUGGUUUUGAGAGGUCAGUAGGCUGGAAUGGGAAUGUCCUAGUUCUGAAAGCCAGGUGUUAAAAUUAUCCGUAGAAGCAACAAAAGAAUGAGGAUGAGAGCAAGCAGUGAGCUGGAAGCUAGGUAGACAUUUAAGAAAAAGGGAGCCUCCAGUUCCAGAUGUCCAAAUGAAGAAGUAGCCAAAAACCAUGCAAUUGCCAGCAGUGAGCCCCCUGGGGAGCUGAAGAGGAAUGACCCAACAGGCAGGCGCACAGGUAUGAGGCCUCGGCAACAGAAAGGACUAUGAUGGAUGAGACAGCUUUCUGAAUUCAGGUGCCAAGGAAGGGAGGGACCUCAGUCAGAUACCCAGGUGGAGCAAACAGGGGAGGGCCUCAGAUGCUGGCCUUGCCCAGGGGAGAGCUGACUUCUGGCAGGCAGAUGUUGAGGAUUGGUGUGUCUCAGGAGUCUGCAGGAACUACUAUCUAGUUUCAUUCUCUGGGUCCUGGUUCCUGUCUGCCUGACAGUUCUUGUCCUCCAACUCCCUCAGAAAUUUCCCAGUAAUAGCCUGGUUCAGGCCUUUUCUCUGACGGGAAAGCUCAUAUAAAGGCAGGAAGGCUCUAUACCAUGAUACGCACAAAGGCUAUGGGUGGUUAGAGCUGUUAUUCAUUUUCUUUUCUUUUAUUACUUGUAUUCUGUAAGUGAUCCUUUAUUACCUUUGUAAGAACUGAAAAACAUAAGUUAACUUAUUUUUAAGUUAUUUUUUCCAAUUUUAUUGAGAUAUAAUUGACAUAUAACGUAUAAGUUUCAG